rnacentral:rRNA from 1 species
GACGAACGCUGGCGGCGUGCCUAAUACAUGCAAGUAGAACGCUGAAGAGAGGAGCUUGCUCUUCUUGGAAGAGUUGCGAACGGGUGAGUAACGCGUAGGUAACCUGCCUUGUAGCGGGGGAUAACUAUUGGAAACGAUAGCUAAUACCGCAUAACAAUGGGUGACCCAUGUCAUUCAUUUGAAAGGGGCAAAUGCUCCACUACAAGAUGGACCUGCGUUGUAUUAGCUAGUAGGUGAGGUAACGGCUCACCUAGGCGACGAUACAUAGCCGACCUGAGAGGGUGAUCGGCCACACUGGGACUGAGACACGGCCCAGACUCCUACGGGAGGCAGCAGUAGGGAAUCUUCGGCAAUGGGGGCAACCCUGACCGAGCAACGCCGCGUGAGUGAAGAAGGUUUUCGGAUCGUAAAGCUCUGUUGUAAGUCAAAGAAACGAAGUGUGAAGAAGUGGAAAAGUUC